rnacentral:rRNA from 1 species
GAUGAACGCUAGCGGCAGGCCUAACACAUGCAAGUCGAGGGGUAGAAGUUGCUUGCAACUUUGAGACCGGCGCACGGGUGCGUAACGCGUAUGCAAUCUGCCUUGUACUGAGGGAUAGCCCAGAGAAAUUUGGAUUAAUACCUCAUAGUAUUACGAUGUGGCAUCACAAUGUAAUUAAAGUUCCAACGGUACAAGAUGAGCAUGCGUCCCAUUAGUUAGUUGGUAAGGUAACGGCUUACCAAGACGAUGAUGGGUAGGGGUCCUGAGAGGGAGAUCCCCCACACUGGUACUGAGACACGGACCAGACUCCUACGGGAGGCAGCAGUGAGGAAUAUUGGUCAAUGGGCGCAAGCCUGAACCAGCCAUGCCGCGUGCAGGAUGAAGCAUCUAUGGUGUGUAAACUGCUUUUGUACGGGAAGAAACACUCCUACGUGUAGGAGCUUGACGGUACCGUAAGAAUAAGGAUCGGCUAACUCCGUGCCAGCCGCCGCAGUAACAC